AACGAACGCUGGCGGCAGGCCUAACACAUGCAAGUCGAGCGAGGACUUCGGUCCUAGCGGCGGACGGGUGAGUAACGCGUGGGAACGUGCCCUUUGCUUCGGAAUAGCCCUGGGAAACUGGGAGUAAUACCGGAUGAGCCCUUUGGGGGAAAGAUUUAUCGGCGAAGGAUCGGCCCGCGUUGGAUUAGGUAGUUGGUGGGGUAAUGGCCUACCAAGCCGACGAUCCAUAGCUGGUUUGAGAGGAUGAUCAGCCACACUGGGACUGAGACACGGCCCAGACUCCUACGGGAAGUAGCAGUGGGGAAUCUUAGACAAUGGGGGAAACCCUGAUCUAGCCAUGCCGCGUGAGCGAUGAAGGCCUUAGGGUUGUAAAGCUCUUUCAGCUGGGAAGAUAAUGACGGUACCAGCAGAAGAAGCCCCGGCUAACUCCGUG
rnacentral:rRNA from 1 species